GGAAUUUUGGACAAUGGGCGCAAGCCUGAUCCAGCAAUGCCGCGUGAGUGAAGAAGGCCUUCGGGUUGUAAAGCUCUUUUGUCAGGGAAGAAACGGUGAGAGCUAAUAUCUUUUGCUAAUGACGGUACCUGAAGAAUAAGCACCGGCUAACUACGUGCCAGCAGCCGCGGUAAUACGUAGGGUGCAAGCGUUAAUCGGAAUUACUGGGCGUAAAGCGUGCGCAGGCGGUUUUGUAAGUCUGAUGUGAAAUCCCCGGGCUCAACCUGGGAAUUGCAUUGGAGACUGCAAGGCUAGAAUCUGGCAGAGGGGGGUAGAAUUCCACGUGUAGCAGUGAAAUGCGUAGAUAUGUGGAGGAACACCGAUGGCGAAGGCAGCCCCCUGGGUCAAGAUUGACGCUCAUGCACGAAAGCGUGGGGAGCAAACAGGAUUAGAUACCCUGG
rnacentral:rRNA from 1 species